rnacentral:rRNA from 1 species
CUACGUAGGUGGCGAGCGUUGUCCGGAAUUACUGGGCGUAAAGGAUGCGUAGGUGGAUACUUAAGUGGGAUGUGAAAUCCCCGGGCUCAACCCGGGAACUGCAUUCCAAACUGGGUAUCUAGAGUGCAGGAGAGGAAAGCGGAAUUCCUAGUGUAGCGGUGAAAUGCGUAGAUAUUAGGAGGAACACCAGUGGCGAAGGCGGCUUUCUGGACUGUAACUGACACUGAGGCAUGAAAGCGUGGGUAGCAAACAGGAUUAGAUACCCUGGUAGUCCACGCCGUAAACGAUGGGUACUAGGUGUAGGAGGUAUCGACCCCUUCUGUGCCGUCGUUAACACAAUAAGUACCCCGCCUGGGGAGUACGGUCGCAAGACUAAAACUCAAAGGAAUUGACGGGG